rnacentral:sRNA from 1 species
UAAGGACUUUUCUUUUAGUUUACUGGGCAGCAAUAAGACCAAAUAAUAAGACUUUCCUCAAGUAACACAGGUUCAAACAUCCUCAGCUCCUUUCUCUCCUCCCCAGUCUCUGUUUUGGUUCUUUGUAUUGAACCAUGGCUUACCAAUUUUUAACUUAGAGACAUUUGCCCUAGGGAUAAGAUCUCUCUGAGGAGUAACCUCCAAACACAGAGGAGAUCUACAGAAUGUGCCCUUACCACUAAGAUGAAGCUGCCAUGUGUCCUGCUGUAGGAUGAAUGAUGCCUCUGGUGUCAUUUUUAUGACCGGAUAAUGCUGCACAGAUUUUAACAGACUUGAUGACCUACAGAAAGGUUAACUUUUGAUUGUGUUAUAUUUAAUAUACAAUCAAGUGUACUUUACAGGAUUUGGAGGAUUUGGAGAUGAUAGAGCCAGUAAAAGAAAUAUAGAUCUCUGAGUGACACAAAGGAAUAUGAGACAUACAAGAAAGAAACCUCGUGUUCAACAUAGAAAUGGAAGAAAUGGAAAUGUUUAAUUACUCUUGAAGAAAUAAAACACGAACCUGUG